GAUGAACGCUGGCGGCGUGCCUAAUACAUGCAAGUCGAGCGAACAGAUGAGGAGCUUGCUCCUCUGACGUUAGCGGCGGACGGGUGAGUAACACGUGGAUAACCUACCUAUAAGACUGGGAUAACUUCGGGAAACCGGAGCUAAUACCGGAUAAUAUAUUGAACCGCAUGGUUCAAUAGUGAAAGACGGUUUUGCUGUCACUUAUAGAUGGAUCCGCGCCGCAUUAGCUAGUUGGUAAGGUAACGGCUUACCAAGGCAACGAUGCGUAGCCGACCCGAGAGGGUGAUCGGCCACACUGGAACUGAGACACGGUCCAGACUCCUACGGGAGGCAGCAGUAGGGAAUCUUCCGCAAUGGGCGAAAGCCUGACGGAGCAACGCCGCGUGAGUGAUGAAGGUCUUCGGAUCGUAAAACUCUGUUAUUAGGGAAGAACAAAUGUGUAAGUAACUAUGCACGUCUUGACGGUACCUAAUCAGAAAGCCACGGCUAACUACGUG
rnacentral:rRNA from 1 species